GAUGAAGAACGCAGCUAAAUGCGAUAAGUAAUGUGAAUUGCAGAAUUCAGUGAAUCAUCGAAUCUUUGAACGCACAUUGCGCCCGCCAGCAUUCUGGCGGGCAUGCCUGUUCGAGCGUCAUUUCAACCCUCGAGCCCCCCCGGGGGCCUCGGUGUUGGGGGACGGCACACCAGCCGCCCCCGAAAUGCAGUGGCGACCCCGCCGCAGCCUCCCCUGCGUAGUAGCACACACCUCGCACCGGAGCGCGGAGGCGGUCACGCCGUAAAACGCCCAACUUUCUUAGAGUUGACCUCGGAUCAGGUAGGAAUACCCGCUGAACUUAAGCAUAUCAAUAAGCGGAGGA
rnacentral:misc_RNA from 1 species